AUUGCUUCUUAUUUCUGCAUAAUUUUUUCAAAUAGUGCGCUAUUGAUAAUUUAGACUGCUUAUGGUAGUUUACUUUAGUUGCUAACAGAUGGGCAUUAUUGCUGCAGCAGUUUAGCAAUGACAGUAUCAUUUAUGAAAACAGACUUUUUGGAUGUAACUUUUCUAAGAGUUAUUUUUGUGAUUUUAGUUAAUUGAGUUACACGAAUCAAAUUCUUGUAAAGUGAUUUUCAAUGCAGAAUUUAGUGCUGAAGACGAUGGUGUUAAUGGAAUUGCGAUAUUUUUAAUAUUACGGGUUUUGUGAAUGUUUUCUUAAAAAAGUACUCGUGGGGUUAGGCAGCCAACGCUAAAUUUUUCGUCUUUUUGUGUUGAUUUU